rnacentral:rRNA from 1 species
GAGUGGCAAACGGGUGAGUAACACGUGACUAACUUGCCCUCGAGUGGGGGAUAACCUCGGGAAACCGGGGCUAAUACCGCAUAACAUCUUCGGGAUGAGAAGCCGAAGAUCAAAGGAGCAAUUCGCUUGAGGAGAGGGUCGCGGCUGAUUAGCUAGUUGGUGGGGUAACGGCCCACCAAGGCGGUGAUCGGUAGCCGGCCUGAGAGGGCGCACGGCCACACUGGAACUGAAACACGGUCCAGACUCCUACGGGAGGCAGCAGUGGGGAAUUUUGCGCAAUGGGGGAAACCCUGACGCAGCAACGCCGCGUGGAGGAUGAAGCCCUUUGGGGCGUAAACUCCUUUCGACCGGGACGAUAAUGACGGUACCGGUGGAAGAAGCACCGGCUAACUCUGUG